GCCAGUGUGGUGUAGUGGUUUGGGUAUUGGAGUAGGACCCCAAAGACCAGGGUUUGAAUCCCUACUCAGGCA